CACGUAUUUCCUUCCCAAGCUGUUUAUGUAUUAUAUAUGUUGUAAUUUAAGUUUUUCAACAGAUGGCCUCUUGCAAAGCAUCGUACGGCAGCUACUGUUGUGUAGCGUGGCGUACAAACAACGGAAGAACGCGAAAGAAGCCCGGAACCCACUUUUUUCGAAUCCCACAGGACCACAGGUCGACGGCAUGGGUGACAUACACCCGAAGGGCUGACCUUAUGGAAAAGCCAGUAAAUCUAUUGUACACAUCAUACAAGAUUUGCAGUGACCAUUUUACUGCGCAAGACUUCAUGGACCCAGGGCACACACGGCUCACUAAAAUGGCCGUGCCAACAGUUAACUCAGGUUACGUCCAUCCUGUAACUGAGGGGCAAGCUGGCGAAUGUGUCGGGCAGGAGGACAAGAAAG